rnacentral:rRNA from 1 species
UACGAAGGGGGCUAGCGUUGCUCGGAAUCACUGGGCGUAAAGGGUGCGUAGGCGGAUCUUUAAGUCAGGGGUGAAAUCCUGGAGCUCAACUCCAGAACUGCCUUUGAUACUGAGGAUCUCGAGUUCGGGAGAGGUGAGUGGAACUGCGAGUGUAGAGGUGAAAUUCGUAGAUAUUCGCAAGAACACCAGUGGCGAAGGCGGCUCACUGGCCCGAUACUGACGCUGAGGCACGAAAGCGUGGGGAGCGAACAGG